CCUGGGAUGCUUGCCGCAUUGCCGCCCUUUGCCCUGAAGCCAGGCGGCCCUGUGAGGCCUGCAGCCCUGAUGCCCUGCGAUGCCUGCAGCCCUGACGCCCUGGGAGGCUUGAAGGUUUGCAGCCCUUUGCCCUGAAGCAGGGUGGCCCUAGAGGCCUGCAGCCCUGAUGCCCUGGGAGCUUGCAGCCCUGCAGCCCUGCCGCUCUUCAGCCCUUCUGCCCUGCUGCCCUGCAUCCCUGAUGCCCUGUUGCCAUGCAGCCCUGUGAGGCCUGCCACCCUUCCACCCUGCUGCCCUGCCUCCCUGCAGCCCUGCUGCUCUGGUAGGCCUUCAGCCCUGCCGCCCUGCUGCCUGGCUGUUCAGCGACCCUGAGAGGCGUGCAGCCCUGCUGCGAUGCUUCCCUACCGCCUUGCCACCCUGCUGCCCUGCAGCCCUUCCACCAUGCUUCUCUGCAGUCCUACUGCCCUGCUGCCCUGCAGCGCUGCCACCCUGCGAGGCCUACAGCCCGGUCACCAGUGUCACCUACGCGGCCUUUAAGGUUUCUGAGCAGACACUGGACCCUGACCUGACUGGCGCUGCCUCCUCCGGCCCCCUCUCACUUGCAGAGAGAAGAGAUUUGGAAAGAAUCUCCAGGAAUCUCCACAGUCCUCUAGAACGUGUCUGCCUUUGGUCGGGUGUGCCGUGUAUUGGGAGGAUGUGGAUUAAGAAUCCUGCAAUCCUGGUGUAACUCUGAUACUGUGCAAGGAUCUGUGAUACUAAAUUAAAUUAAGCUGCUUUUCCCUCACUUGUCAUUUGCCCUCAGCGCUUGUCAAACAUAAAGCACAAAUAAAACUUAUUGGUAAGUAGAUUUUCCAGUCCUUGGUUCUGGUUUCUAGGUUGAAGCUGUACUUCUGCCGUGCUAAUGGCUACUCUUGUUAUUGUCACACAACUCGGGAAUUAGCUAAAUCAUUACAAAUUGAGAAACAGAGAAGAUAUUAUAGGAAAACCAGGUGGAUAUCCCAAGCUUAGACCCAGAGGAGAGGUGUUCUGUGAGUCAAUGGGACUCAUACUUAAAGAUUUGCUCUUCCAAUUUUCCAUUGUUACUAAGAUAGGAAUAUGCAAAUAUAUUAUUAAUAUUUAACAGUAUUGGAAAGAGAGGCAGGGAGGGAGAAUGUGCUUUGAAGGUUUUGUGGAACUUAUGAACAAUUAUGAUUGGAUGGAGAAAAAGAGGAAACAAGAGCAACAGCCCACAAAUGAGCUCAGAGAAAGAGAGAAGAGCUCAUCUGGUGGAAGAGCAAGUAGAGAGGGUUGCCCUACAGAAUUUCAGAAAACCUCCACAACCUGAGCAGUGUUGGCAGAAGGCAAAUUAAAGGGUCUUGGGAAAUGCUGCAAAAUCCUCCCACAGAGAAAGUUGUUACAGUAUUCAUCGUCUAGCUCCUCCUGACAUGCAGACAUUUAUUAGGGUGAAGUUAAGUUUUUGUUGUGUGGAUUUCUUAUUUGGGCAAUUGGGUCAACUCAAAAAAGGCCAACUUAGACUACCAGAGUAAACAAGAAGAAAAAUAAAAAGAACAACUCACUCAUCAGUUAUUUUUCCCCAAUAUAUGUAGCCUCCCUGAUAACACAUUAGCUACUUCCUACUGAUAACACAGAAACUAGAUAAAACAGUCAAGUAAACAAGUCCCUAUAGAAAUUGAAUUAAUACAGAAAGUUUUAAAAAAGGCCAAAAACACUUUAAACAUAAAACUUUAAAUUUCAUUCCCAGGAAAAAUUGAGGUGAUAGUUCAAUAAUGAAAUAAGAUCAGGUAAGAGCUGAGAGAGUUUAGCUAAGCUGGAUCAAGUAAGAGAACAUCUGUUUGCAGGCAUCAGAAUAUUAGAGAAAAGCAAAAGACAUAUGGGCCAAAUUCAGGAGAGAAGGGAAACACAGGCACAAGCUUGAUAUUUGUGACAGCUUUUCUCCUGGGCAUUCACGGAUUCAAAACUACAGCCUAGGGGCUGAGAAGCCAAGUAGUUGAAAAGACAGCAAGCACUGAAGCCCAAUGGCAAGAGCUGAAGCAAAAAGCAAUGGCUAAGACACUGACAAGCAGGGAUAACAAUGAGGUUCAAAUCCCAACAAGGAAAAGGGUACUGGGGAACAGGGGGGAAUCAGACUUUUAAGUGGUAAUCCCAGGGGCCACACCCUAAAUAGAUCUCCUAAAUAGAUCAGCCUUCACAAAGAUAGAAGCCAGCUUUGAAUGAGCUCAAACUAAGAAUGGACUAAGGUUAUCAGUCUCUGUAAAAGCUCUGCCAUAAGCAAAAAAUAAAAUAAAAUAAAAUAAAAUAAAGUAAAAGUUAAUCUACUCAAGGAAAACAGAACAACUGGAAUGUAAGUAUCUCUAUAGUUUUCUAAAAUUAAG
rnacentral:lncRNA from 1 species